CAUUCCCUCACUGGUUGAGCUCAAGGCCACCUUGCUUGGUCUCCGGCAGUCCAGCCCAUCCAAUACGGCCGGUCCGCUCCCCAGCAAGGCGGUUCCUUGAGUCCGCAACAUACCAUGCUCAAGCCUCCACCACCUAGACUCCUCAAGGCGUAAGCUUUAUUUUUCGUUUAUACAGAAGAUGCAAGAUUCUCCUACUGCCAUAUAAGUAGCACAUAUAGUUGCAGUAGACAAGGAGCUCGGCUUUGGAUUAUAGACUAGCUAAAAAAUAUUUCAAACAAAUUACUCACUCAGCAGCAUCUUAAAUAGUACAUAGUAUUUUGAUUUUGUCUGUACACAUAUUGCCCUUCCUGUAUGAUGCUCCUGUAAUAGAUUAUGCUUACAGUACAUAACUCAGUUUACUUUUAGUUUGUAAAUUAAAUUAAUCAACUUUGUGCACCUGUAAUUCAGUAUGAUAGCUUAUGUUUGUUUCUUUUUCCAUAGUAGUAGGAUACUUGCAAAUAUAUUCAUCACAAUCAGGGGCAUGUACAACUAUAUUUAGGUUGCAGAUACACUCAGAGCAGAACCUGCCCAGUUCUGAAGAAGCUAAAUGAUCUCGUUUAUGUGAUGUUCAGCAAGAGACUGGACUCAGAAGUAUAAUAGUUUAUAAUUUAUUGUUGGGCCAAAAUUAUGUCAUGGUUUAUAUAGAUGCAUCAAUUCUUCAAGUAGCUCACUACUUGAUUCGGUUAUGAGAAUAACAACUGCAGAUAGAGUAAUUAAUCUUGCUUCUUUGCUACAUGAAUAACUUCAUUAUGGGUUGUGUUGUCUGAGGUAAAUUGAUACUACCUACUAUAGGAAAUUCCAGAUGCAUUAUGACGGGAGUGGCGAAGCCGGAGGGGCUAAGAUAUCCUCGACAUGGGUGCUCGACGGCACGCUGUAGACCAGGAGGAGGAUCUCCUGGUGGAGCUUGGCAGAAGCAAGACACUUGGAUGUAAC
rnacentral:lncRNA from 1 species